AAUAGAUACCCGGGUAGUCCACGCCGUAAACGAUGAGUGCUAAGUGUUAGGGGGUUUCCGCCCCUUAGUGCUGCAGCUAACGCAUUAAGCACUCCGCCUGGGGAGUACGGUCGCAAGACUGAAACUCAAAGGAAUUGACGGGGGCCCGCACAAGCGGUGGAGCAUGUGGUUUAAUUCGAAGCAACGCGAAGAACCUUACCAGGUCUUGACAUCCCGUUGACCACUGUAGAGAUAUAGUUUCCCCUUCGGGGGCAACGGUGACAGGUGGUGCAUGGUUGUCGUCAGCUCGUGUCGUGAGAUGUUGGGUUAAGUCCCGCAACGAGCGCAACCCUUGAUCUUAGUUGCCAUCAUUUAGUUGGGCACUCUAAGGUGACUGCCGGUGACAAACCGGAGGAAGGUGGGGAUGACGUCAAAUCAUCAUGCCCCAUAUGACCUGGGCUACACACGUGCUACAAUGGACGAUACAAACGGUUGCCAACUCGCGAGAGGGAGCUAAUCCGAUAAAGUCGUUCUCAGUUCGGAUUGUAGG
rnacentral:rRNA from 1 species